rnacentral:rRNA from 1 species
GACGAACCGUACAAACGUUAUUCGGAAUUACUGGGCUUAAAGGGUGCGUAGGCGGCGCGUUAAGUCGGGUGUGAAAUCCCUCAGCUCAACUGAGGAACUGCGCCCGAUACUGGCGUGCUUGAGGGAGACAGGGGUGAGCGGAACUGAUGGUGGAGCGGUGAAAUGCGUUGAUAUCAUCAGGAACACCGGUGGCGAAAGCGGCUCACUGGGUCUCUACUGACGCUGAUGCACGAAAGCUAGGGUAGCGAACGGG